GCAGAAUGGGGAAGUCAACGGGCGGCUGGCGAGCGCCACAAGGAAAGGGGAAGGCGGGCGAGGGGAAGGAGCCGAGGAGACGGUGCAGACGUGGGGUUGUCAGAAACGGGCGGAGGACGGUGGAAGGGCUCAUCGGCCAGCACAGGAGCAAUUGGCUGCGGAGACACUGGGAGCACCGGGGAAGCCGGCUGAGUGCAAGGAGGACCCGGAGGAUGUGAUGGAGCAGGACAAGCCUCAGCGUUAAUAAGGCAGCCGAGCCGUGUCGGAAGUUAAGAAAAUGAACUGCGUGCUGGAAGGAAAAGGUUUGGGGGCACCCAGGGUAAGGAGGGGCGUGGAAGAGAUCGGCCCAGGGGCUCUAGAGAGAACUGGGGCAGGAGGCUGCCAGCCGACCGGGCGGGUUUGUGAAGGCCAGGUGCUGGCGUGAUGGCAGAAUGCUUCUUAAACACAACAUUGAAACGUGACAUUGUGACAGGCCAUGGCAGAAAGGCCAGGCAGGGGAGAAACUUGUCCAGGCACUAAGUCAAUGGGUUCCCCAAGGGUGCCGGACAGCACCUGGUUCCACCCAGUUCUGUAGGGGGAGAUGGGCCAGAGACAGCAGUUUCCUCCCAGACCCUGCACAAAGCAGGUUGGACGAAGUAUGGGUAUUUUCGGAGUUCACUGUAUUCCAAAUGCGAAUGGGUCUGGAGUCUGGGACGUGAUUCCUCUGGGGGAGACGUGACUCCAGCAAACCCUGGGAAGGGUCAGGACUGUCACAGGACACUUGUAAAGCAACCGACCAGCCAAGGAGGAGCUGUUGGGCCAAACAAAGCAAUGGGUUUCUAGGAAAUCCCUGUGGGGUGGGGAUGCAAAUUCCCACCUCUGCCCCCGGCCUUUCAAAGUGAUGCCCUGAGGAGUGAGCCAGUGGCUGCGAAUGACCUGUUCCCAGAUCGAGGGACCGGCCUGCAGCACUCACAGAUUCCCAGGGGACGUGUUCACAGCAGAAGCUGUGCUGAGCUUGGAAGCACUGAAAAGCCCCUGGGUGGGUUUGACGGUCUGCAUCCCAGCCGGAGCCCUGGCUGGAGUCAGGGGAGGGAUCCCUGGUAAGCCUAGUAGCAGGCGGGUGGGUUCACUGAUUGGUUUAACCCGUGUUCUCGACAGUGCUGUCACCAUAAGCACCGAGGUGCUGCUUGGGGGAAGCUUGGUGGGGCCGAAGCUGUGGGGCUCACGGGGCUUGUAGCCUUGGAGGGGGCAGAAAAGCGGCCGGCUCGGCCAGUCUGAUUUGGUGGGGAUAUCACAGUGCCAACAGGAAACCGGGAAGCCUGGAGCACCCGGCAGGAGGGAGAGCGAGACGGGUCCUGCCCAUGAGAGGUGGCGGCUGGCAUGCCAGGAGCCCAGGGCGGGUGCCCUGGCUGGCCUACGGAGGCGCAGGACCGGUGCAGUUGCCCUGAGUGGCGACACCGUCAUCGCCCCUUCCUCAGCUACAUGGAGCUCCGGCCAUCUCCUAGCCUGGGGUGGCUACAGCCCCCGCUACUGGGCUGUGAGGCUCACAGCACCUGGCACUCGACUGCCCUUCUCCCGAGCGAUCUCACUGGGUUGUGCAAGCGAGGCCGUGUCAUUAUCUCCACUUCAGAGAGGGAAACUGAGGCACUGGACAGGGCCGGGACUUGGCCAAGGUCACCCCAUGGGCAGCCCGCGUCCACACACAAACGCUGUAGGAGUGUAACUGUACCAGGCUAGUUAACACAUUACAGCCCCGGUGGGGGUACAAUUAUAGCCCUGCAACCGGGCUAGAACUAUUCCCGGAUGAGAAGAGUAGACGGGUCUGACCCUGGUACCAGGCACCUGUAUCCUGGUGUCACUGCACACACACUGCUGUUGUACUGGUAUAACUGUAUCAGCAAAACCGACCCCACCUGGACAAAAGUGUAUGGGGUAGACUGGAAACUUUGGGACAGGACUGUGUCUCGCUCUGUGUCUGCAGAGCCUGGCACAAAAGGACUUGGUCACUGUGUGUCUGUGCAGCGCCUGGCACGACGGGGCCCUGAUCUCAGUCAGUGUGUGUCUGGGCAGUGCCCAGCCCGACGGGGCCCCGAUCUCAGUCACUGUGUGUGUGGGCAGCGCCCAGCCCGAUGGGGCCCCGAUCUCGGUCACUGUGUGUUUGGGCAGCGCCCGGCGCGACAGGGUCCUGAUCUCGGUCAUUGUGUGUAUGGGCAGCGCCCGGCGUGACGGGGCCCUGAUCUCUGUCACUGUGUGUGUAUGGGCAGUGCCUGGCACGAUGGGGCCCUGAUCUGGGUCACUGUGUAUCUUGGCAGUGCCUGACAUGACGGGGCCCUGUGACUGGCACACAAACCGCCCCCGGAGAGGGAGGGUUUAGAGAACUGCCCUGGGCCCUGGUGGCAGAGUUGCCAAGAGUCCCUUAUUACAAGGGACGUCCCUUAUCUUUCCAUCUCCAUCCAACAAGACCGGGAGCUGCUGAGUGCUGCAAAAUGCAGCAAGAAAGAUGCCUAGCGAAGGCAGGUGAGUCCUGCAUGUCGAUGAUGUUGAUGAUAAUCUCAGGAGGCGAGGUGGCAUCGGGGUGCUAAGAAAACACCCCUUGUUUGGUAAAUAAAAUGUAGGCUUGAGCCCUCAGCCAUCCUUUCGGGCAGCUCUGCCCUGCCAAACCCGCAGGGCCCUGCCCGGCCGGAGGAGGAGCUUGGCAGGGAGCAGAGAGCAGCUCCCUUGAAAGGCGCCAGCGGAGGUGAGCAGGGCUGGGAUCGGCAGCUCUGCAGAAGGAGACUGGAGGCAGGCCCAGCGGAUGCUCUACCUGAGCUGCUGAGAGGGAAGGACUCUGGGCAUUUGCAAGGUCGGAGACAUCGCCUCAGGUUUGUUCAGGGCCGAGCGAGAGGAAGAUGCUGCUGCUGACGUCGGUCGUGUGGCUCUUAGCGCUCUGCACCGUGUCACUCGGGAGAGUCCCCAGCUCUGCUGCCCUGAGCGCUGCCAGGCGCCUGAUCCAAUGCGCCGUCUCCAGGGGUUUCCUGAGCCGCAGCUUCACCCUGAAGGGGCACCGCAACGUGAACCCGACCAGCUGCCCCGGGAACAGCCUCUACAGGGUCAUCAGCCAGUGGCCCAGGUUCAAAGCCUGAGUCCCUGCAGCCUCGGGGCAGCCCCUGCGCCCAUCGCUGACCCCAUCCGCAGCUUCUGCCUGUUCGAGCAGCACCUCCGCCCCCCAGCAGGGGGCAGCCCCCCGCUUCUCACCUGCCGGCCUGGGAAGGACCCGUUGGGUGGUUCGCACAGUCCUGCAAAGGGGUUUUUAAUUCAAGUGUAGUUUGCCUUUAACCCAGCGCCCCAGCAGCUUAGCGGUUGCUUUGCUUGGGAGCUACUGAGCAGUGACAAUAAACCAGCUUCUAGCACAUGAAAA